rnacentral:pre_miRNA from 1 species
GAUGUAACUAGCAGUUGACUGAACAUUUCGGACUUUCAACAGGCCAUACACCUAAUGUUAUGUAUGGCACUGCUGAAGGUCCGAAAGCUGCAAAAGAGUAAAAAAAAUACGUU